AACGAACGCUGGCGGCAUGCCUAACACAUGCAAGUCGAACGAGACCUUCGGGUUUAGUGGCGCACGGGUGCGUAACGCGUGGGAACCUGCCCUUAGGUUCGGACUAACUCCCCGAAAGGGGUGCUAAUACCGGAUAAUGUCUUCGGACCAAAGAUUUAUCGCCUUUGGAUGGGCCCGCGUUGGUUUAGCUAGUUGGUAGGGUAAAAGCCUACCAAGGCGACGAUCCAUAGCUGGUCUGAGAGGAUGAUCAGCCACACUGGGACUGAGACACGGCCCAGACUCCUAGGGGAGGCAGCAGUGGGGAAUAUUGGACAAUGGGCGAAAGCCUGAUCCAGCAAUGCCGCGUGAGUGAUGAAGGCCUUAGGGUUGUAAAGCUCUUUUACCCGGGAUGAUAAUGACAGUACCGGGAGAAUAAGCUCCGGCUAACUCCGUG
rnacentral:rRNA from 1 species